rnacentral:rRNA from 1 species
CAUCCCCACGGGACGCAGCAGUGGGGAAUUUUGGACAGUGGGCGCAAGCCUGAUCCAGCUAUUCCGCGUGUGGGAUGAAGGCCCUCGGGUUGUAAACCACUUUUGUAGAGAACGAAAAGACACCUUCGAAUGAAGGGUGUUGCUGACGGUACUCUAAGAAUAAGCACCGGCUAACUACGUGCCAGCAGCCGCGGUAAUACGUAGGGUGCGAGCGUUAAUCGGAAUUACUGGGUGUAAAGGGUGCGCAGGCGGUUGAGUAAGACAGAUGUGAAAUCCCCGAGCCUA